GUGAAUCAUCGAAUUUUUGAACGCAAAUUGCACUCUCCUCGGAGAGUAUGCCUGUUUGAGGGUCAGCCUAUAAAAAAUCGACAUCGUGGCUGUUUCCCGGUUGCGUUCGUCGGAAAUUGGGUCAUCUUAAAUCUUUUGUUUUUAAGCGACUUAAAAUUUUCUUUUUGGUUCCUUGAACGGUUCUAAGAUUUAUUUCUGUACACUUUUAAUAUAUCGUUUUUUAUGAGACGUUACUAUCAUAUCG
rnacentral:misc_RNA from 1 species